UUGGUCCAACAGCAGCCAACCUCAGUGAGGAGCCAGAACUAUAGAUGAAUGUGAGCUGCUUGAUGUAGCCCAGUAGUAGAUUUAUUUAUCCAGCUGGGACAUCAUGCCCUGUAAGGAGCAAGCCCAGCUGAGGUACAGUUUAACCAGUGGAAAUGGCAUGCAUUGUGAGGAGCUAGCCCAGGUGAACAGCAGUACAAAUCAUCCAUGACAGCUGCAGCAACCUCCCUGAGAAUCCUUUGGAGAAUGAAGCAUCCUGAGAUCCUGCAGUUUGGGAGUUGUGAGUUACCUGGACCUAGAACUCCUUACUUCCAUUGUACUUUAAAGCAUACCCUAGGAAGACUUCUUCCUCAUAUCUCUAAGAAUGUCUGAAUUCCCUAAAUAAGCUUUUUUUUUCAGAGUUUACUUCUCUGUCUUCUUUGUGGAAGAGGCAUGAAGAAAGAGAGGACUUACAAGACAAGACAAGCAUGCAAGAAACAAAGCUGGGGACCUGAUCUGCUAAUCAAGGUGAAGAUUCCAAAUGGAAUGUUCCCAGGAGAGGCAGUUGGAGCUGGCCAGAGGAGAUGAACUGAGGAGAUUUGGGCUCUUUGGGUUUUCUGACCAAAGGAGAGAGACUGGCUUUUCCUGAUCUAGGCAGAGAGAGAAACCUUUGUGGUUUUUGACAGAGUUUGGACUUGAAUUACUCAAACAGAGAUUAUCUGACUGAAGAAGGAAGAAGAUUUAACAGUUGUCCUCCAUCUCUCUGGCUGUCUCUGAGUCACAAUUGUGACUAGACUGACAUUUCCCCAAAUCUCCUAAUUCUCCUUGUAGACUAGGGACACCCCUAUCCCACUCACCUUCAAUUUCCAUCCUGUUGUUCCCAAUAAACCCCUUUAUUUGAGAAAGAAAGAGUGAAGA
rnacentral:lncRNA from 1 species